rnacentral:piRNA from 1 species
UAGAACUGCUUUUAUUUAUUG